rnacentral:rRNA from 1 species
AAAGGAAUAGACGGGGGCUCACACAAGCGGUGGAGCAUGUUGCUUAAUUCGAGGCAACGCGAAGAACCUUACCUAGGCUUGACAUGCUUGGAUUAACUCCUUGAAAGAGGAGCCACACCCUCUGGGUGGAACAAGCACAGGUGCUGCAUGGCUGUCGUCAGCUCGUGCUGUGAAGUGUCGGGUUAAGUCCCUUAACGAGCGCAACCCCUGUCGUUAGUUGCUCGGCGAAAGCCAGUACUCUAGCGAGACUGCCGGUGUCAAACCGGAGGAAGGUGGGGAUGACGUCAAGUCCUCAUGGCCCUUACGUCUAGGGUUGCAAACGUGCUACAAUGGCGCUGACAAAGCGACGCGAGGCCGCGAGGCGGAGCAAAUCGCAAAAAAGGCGCCCCAGUUCGGAUUGCAGGCUGCAACUCGCCUGCAUGAAGUCGGAAUCGCUAGUAAUCGGAGAUCAGCUACGCUCCGGUGAAUGUGUUCCUGAGCCUUGUACACACCGCCCGU